AGUGAACGCUGGCGGUAGGCCUAACACAUGCAAGUCGAACGGCAGCACAGUAAGAGCUUGCUCUUACGGGUGGCGAGUGGCGGACGGGUGAGGAAUACAUCGGAAUCUACUUUUUCGUGGGGGAUAACGUAGGGAAACUUACGCUAAUACAGCAUACGACCUACGGGUGAAAGCAGGGGAUCUUCGGACCUUGCGCGAUUGAAUGAGCCGAUGUCGGAUUAGCUAGUUGGCGGGGUAAAGGCCCACCAAGGCGACGAUCCGUAGCUGGUCUGAGAGGAUGAUCAGCCACACUGGAACUGAGACACGGUCCAGACUCCUACGGGAGGCAGCAGUGGGGAAUAUUGGACAAUGGGCGCAAGCCUGAUCCAGCCAUACCGCGUGGGUGAAGAAGGCCUUCGGGUUGUAAAGCCCUUUUGUUGGGAAAGAAAAGCAGCAGGUGAAUACCCCGCUGUUCUGACGGUACCCAAAGAAUAAGCACCGGCUAACUUCGUG
rnacentral:rRNA from 1 species